GUACACUCCUACGGGAGGCAGCAGUGGGGAAUAUUGGACAAUGGGCGCAAGCCUGAUCCAGCCAUGCCGCGUGAGUGAUGAAGGCCCUAGGGUUGUAAAGCUCUUUCACCGGUGAAGAUAAUGACGGUAACCGGAGAAGAAGCCCCGGCUAACUUCGUGCCAGCAGCCGCGGUAAUACGAAGGGGGCUAGCGUUGUUCGGAUUUACUGGGCGUAAAGCGCACGUAGGCGGACUAUUAAGUCAGGGGUGAAAUCCCGGGGCUCAACCCCGGAACUGCCUUUGAUACUGGUAGUCUUGAGUUCGAGAGAGGUGAGUGGAAUUCCGAGUGUAGAGGUGAAAUUCGUAGAUAUUCGGAGGAACACCAGUGGCGAAGGCGGCUCACUGGCUGGAUACUGACGCUGAGGUGCGAAAGCGUGGGGAGCAAACAGGAUUAGAAACCCGGGUAGUCCC
rnacentral:rRNA from 1 species